GCCCUAACAAUCAUCUUCCAAACACCUGUGCACAUUUUUGAGGGAGUUUCGAGUUUUAUUGCCGUUUUUGGUGAUUUUCUUGUAUUCCCUUGAAUUAUUAUACGCUGUUAACAAUGAUGAACGUGCUCUGUGCCGCAAGGCCAUUAAUAUAAUACAACUUUUAACAACGGAUCUCUUGGCUCUCGCAUCGAUGAAGAACGCAGCGAAAUGCGAUAAGUAAUGUGAAUUGCAGAAUUCAGUGAAUCAUCGAAUCUUUGAACGCACCUUGCGCUCCCUGGUAUUCCGGGGAGCACGCCUGUUCGAGUGUCGCGAAAUUUCUCAAGCUUGGAUGGCCUUUUUGUCUGUCCUUAGCCUUGGUUGUUGGGCUUUGCCGUGUCCUUUGUUGGGACGGCUGGCCUUAAAAGCAUUAGCUGAUCCUCGUGUGGCACUGGUUCUACUCAGCGUGAUAACAGUCUGAUCGCUGAGGACAUCUUUUGGGAUGGCCAGUUCUCAUUUGGGUUGCUUCCAAACUUGGUUUUGCAG
rnacentral:sRNA from 1 species